AGUGAACGCUGGCGGUAGGCCUAACACAUGCAAGUCGAACGGCAGCACAGUAAGGGCUUGCUCUUACGGGUGGCGAGUGGAGGACGGGUGAGGAAUACAUCGGAAUCUACUUUUUCGUGGGGGAUAACGUAGGGAAACUUACGCUAAUACCGCAUACGACAUACGGGUGAAAGCAGGGGAUCUUCGGACCUUGCGCGAUUGAAUGAGCCGAUGUCGGAUUAGCUAGUUGGCGGGGUAAAGGCCCACCAAGGCGACGAUCCGUAGCUGGUCUGAGAGGAUGAUCAGCCACACUGGAACUGAGACACGGUCCAGACUCCUACGGGAGGCAGCAGUGGGGAAUAUUGGACAAAGGGCGCAAGCCUGAUCCAGCCAUACCGCGUGGGUGAAGAAGGCCUUCGGGUUGUAAAGCCCUUUUGUUGGGAAAGAAAAGCAGCAGGUUAAUACCCCGCUGUUCUGACGGUACCCAAAGAAUAAGCACCGGCUAACUUCGUG
rnacentral:rRNA from 1 species